UAGGGAAUCUUCCACAAUGGACGCAAGUCUGAUGGAGCAACGCCGCGUGAGUGAAGAAGGCUUUCGGGUCGUAAAACUCUGUUAUUGAAGAAGAACGUGUGUGACAGUAACUGGUCAUGCAGUGACGGUAUUCAAUCAGAAAGUCACGGCUAACUACGUGCCAGCAGCCGCGGUAAUACGUAGGUGGCAAGCGUUGUCCGGAUUUAUUGGGCGUAAAGCGAGUGCAGGCGGUCUUUUAAGUCUGAUGUGAAAGCCUUCGGCUUAACCGAAGAAGGGCAUCGGAAACUGGGAGACUUGAGUGCAGAAGAGGAGAGUGGAACUCCAUGUGUAGCGGUGAAAUGCGUAGAUAUAUGGAAG
rnacentral:rRNA from 1 species